GACGAACGCUGGCGGCGUGCUUAACACAUGCAAGUCGAACGGAAAGGCCCUGCUUUUGUGGGGUGCUCGAGUGGCGAACGGGUGAGUAACACGUGAGUAACCUGCCCUUGACUUUGGGAUAACUUCAGGAAACUGGGGCUAAUACCGGAUAGGAGCUCCUGCUGCAUGGUGGGGGUUGGAAAGUUUCGGCGGUUGGGGAUGGACUCGCGGCUUAUCAGCUUGUUGGUGGGGUAGUGGCUGACCAAGGCUUUGACGGGUAGCCGGCCUGAGAGGGUGACCGGCCACCUUGGGCCUGCGAUACGGCCCAGACUCCUACGGUAGGCAGCAGUGGGGAAUCUUGCACAAUGGGCGGAAGCCUGAUGCAGCAGCGCCGCGUUCGUGAUGACGGCCUUCGGGUUGUGAACCGCUUUCGCCUGUGACGAAGCGUGAGUGACGGUAAUGGGUAAAUAAGCACCGGCUAACUACGUG
rnacentral:rRNA from 1 species